CAUAACUAGUUAGUAACCACUGGUCAUUUCAAGGUCAUUCAUUUGAAGGUCAAGGUCACUGUGACCUUGAAUGUAAAAAUGUUAAAGUUCUUAUUUCAUGGUAUAACUUUGGUAUGCUUGGACCUAGAGUCUUCAAACUUGACAUGAAGGUUGGCCAGGAUUAACAGAUGACCACUGGUCAUUUCAAGGUCAUUCAUUUGAAGGUGAAGGUCACUGUGACCUUCAAUAUAAAAAUGUUAAAGUUGUUAUAACUUUGGUAUGCUUGGACCUAGAGUCUUGAAACUUGACAUGAAGGUUGGCCAGAACUAGUAAGUAACCACUGGACAUUUCAAGGUCAUUCAUUUGAAGGUCAAGGUCACUGUGACCUUGAAUGUAAAAAUGUUAAAGUUGUUAUAACUUUGGUAUGCUUGGACCUAGAGUCUUGAAACUUGACAUGAAGGUUUGCCAGAACUAGUAAGUAACCACUGGACAUUUCAAGGUCAUUCAUUUGAAGGUCAAGGUCACUGUGACCUUGAAUGUAAAAAUGUUAAAGUUCUUAUUUCAUGUUAUAACUUUGGUAUGCUUGUACCUAGAGUCUUCAAACUUGAAAUAAAGAUUGGCCAGUACUAGAAGAUGACCACUGGUCAUUUCAAUGUCAUUCAUUUGAAGGUCAAGGUCACUGUGACCUUAAAUGUUAAAAUGUUAAAAUUGUUAUAACUUUGGUAUGCUUGGACAUAGAGUCUUCAAACUUGACAUGAAGGUUUGCAAGCACACUUAGAUGACCACUGGUCAUUUCAAGGUCAUUCAUUCUAAGGUCAAGGUCACUGUGACCUUGAAUGUAAAAAUGUUAAAGUUCUUAUAACUUUGGUAGGUAAAAAUGUUAAAGUUCUUAUUCCAUGUUAUAACUUUGGUAUGCUUGUACCUAGAGUCUUCAAACUUGACAUAAAGGUUGGCCAGUACUAGAAGAUCACCACUGCUCAUUUCAAUGUCAUUCAUUUGAAGGUCAAGGUCACUGUGACCUUCAAUGUUAAAAUGUUUAAAUUGUUAUAACUUUGGUAUGCUUGGACCUAGAAUCUCAAAUUGUGUCCAAUCUAUCUGCUAGAACUGGUGUGAUAGAAACCUUUUGGAGUGAUCAUAAGGCUGUCUGGAUUUCUGUGUAGGUAUGUGAAAGCAAAACAAUAAAUAGUAUUAUUUCAUCUAAGUUUAUUUUCUUACAUUUGAUAAUGAAAUUGAUGGAAACUUCAAACAAUAUGUUACUAAUUUGCUAAUAAAAAAAUUGAGAUCAAACUUUCCUAAUUGUCAAUUCAAGUUCAUAUUUGUGACCUUAAAUGUUAUUGUUGUUCAUGUAUAUGCAUGCAUUCAAAACAUAACACAAGGUUUGCUCAUGCCUUGAAAAGUACUUACAUUUCAUUUUGACCUUUGAACAAUAUUUCAGUAAUUUAAGUAUUGCAUUGACAAAAACACGAAAGGUACUUUCCUGUCAUUUAAAUCAAAAAUCCGGCUUCAAUGCGGUCAUCUCCGAC